rnacentral:rRNA from 1 species
GUUUAUUGGAAACUUAAAGAAUUUGGCGGCAUUUUAUCUUUUUAGAGGAACCUGUUUCAUUAAUGAUGUUACACGAUUGGCAUUACUUAUUGUAUUUGUUUGUAUAUUUCCGUUAUCAGAAUAUUUAUGGAUGAUAUUUUCAUGGUUUUAUUAAAAUUUAUUCAGGUCAAGGUGCAGCUUAUUGAUAAGUGUUAAAUGGGUUACAAUAAUUUAAUUUAAACGGAUAUUUUUUUUAAAUUUUUAAUUGAAGGUGGAUUUAUUAGUAAGUUUUAAUAAUUAUUAAUUCUGAAUUAGUGCUAAAUUGUGU